AGGGUAGACCUCCCACCCUUGUGUAUUAUUACUUUGUUGCUUUGGCGAGCUGCCUUCGGGCCUUGUAUGCUCGCCAGAGAAUACCAAAACUCUUUUUAUUAAUGUCGUCUGAGUACUAUAUAAUAGUUAAAACUUUCAACAACGGAUCUCUUGGUUCUAUCGAUGAAGAACGCAGCGAAAUGCGAUAAGUAAUGUGAAUUGCAGAAUUCAGUGAAUCAUCGAAUCUUUGAACGCACAUUGCGCCCCUUGGUAUUCCGGGGGGCAUGCCUGUUCGAGCGUCAUUUCAACCCUCAAGCUUAGCUUGGUAUUGAGUCUAUGUCAGUAAUGGCAGGCUCUAAAAUCAGUGGCGGCGCCGCUGGGUCCUGAACGUAGUAAUAUCUCUCGUUACAGGUUCUCGGUGUGCUUCUGCCAAAACCCAAAUUUUUCUAUGGUUGACCUCGGAUCAGGUAGGGAUACCCGCUGAACUUAA
rnacentral:rRNA from 1 species